GUGCUUGCUUCAGCAGCACAUAUGCUAAAUUGGAACGAUACAGAGAAGAUUAGCAUGGCCCCUGCGCAAGAAUGAUGCAUAAAUUCAUCUAGUGUUCCAUAUUUUU
rnacentral:snRNA from 1 species